CGGAGAGUUUGAUCCUGGCUCAGGACGAACGCUGGCGGCAUGCCUAAUACAUGCAAGUCGAACGAGCUUCCGUUGAAUGACGUGCUUGCACUGAUUUCAACAAUGAAGCGAGUGGCGAACUGGUGAGUAACACGUGGGGAAUCUGCCCAGAAGCAGGGGAUAACACUUGGAAACAGGUGCUAAUACCGUAUAACAACAAAAUCCGCAUGGAUCUUGUUUGAAAGGUGGCUUCGGCUAUCACUUCUGGAUGAUCCCGCGGCGUAUUAGUUAGUUGGUGAGGUAAAGGCCCACCAAGACGAUGAUACGUAGCCGACCUGAGAGGGUAAUCGGCCACAUUGGGACUGAGACACGGCCCAAACUCCUACGGGAGGCAGCAGUAGGGAAUCUUCCACAAUGGACGAAAGUCUGAUGGAGCAAUGCCGCGUGAGUGAAGAAGGGUUUCGGCUCGUAAAACUCUGUUGUUAAAGAAGAACACCUUUGAGAGUAACUGUUCAAGGGUUGACGGUAUUUAACCAGAAAGCCACGGCUAACUACGUGCCAGCAGCCGCGGUAAUACGUAGGUGGCAAGCGUUGUCCGGAUUUAUUGGGCGUAAAGCGAGCGCAGGCGGUUUUUUAAGUCUGAUGUGAAAGCCUUCGGCUUAACCGGAGAAGUGCAUCGGAAACUGGGAGACUUGAGUGCAGAAGAGGACAGUGGAACUCCAUGUGUAGCGGUGGAAUGCGUAGAUAUAUGGAAGAACACCAGUGGCGAAGGCGGCUGUCUAGUCUGUAACUGACGCUGAGGCUCGAAAGCAUGGGUAGCGAACAGGAUUAGAUACCCUGGUAGUCCAUGCCGUAAACGAUGAGUGCUAAGUGUUGGAGG
rnacentral:rRNA from 1 species